GUGAAAUUGUUGAAAGGGAAACGUUUGACACCAGCUAUGUAGGCGGAAAAUCAGUCAAUUUCAGGGGGUGGUGGCAUUUGUCUGGACCGCAAGGCCGGCGUGUGCUGCUCGCUCUUUGUAUUUGAUGCACUUUUUCGUUCGCAGGUCAACAUCAGUUUCGCUUGCUGGACAAAACCCCGAGAGAAGGUAGCAGCUUAGGCUGUGUUAUAGCUCUGGGGCGAUACAGUGGGUGGGACUGAGGAUUCGCAGUGUGUGCUUUCGGGCAAGGCCGACUGGGUGCUCUGGAAUUGUUUGGCGUACAAUGCUUGCAUUUUGCGUCUUGUCUUUUUCAUACUCGCUUAGCUCGGCUCUUCCACGCUUAGGAUGUUGACUUAAUGGUAUUAAACGACCCGUCUUGAAACACGGACCAAGGAGUCUAACAUGCAUGCAAGUGUUUGGGUGGCAAACCCAUACGCGCAAUGAAAGUGAACGAAGGUGCGAUCCGCAAGGAGCAGCAUCGACCGAUCUUGAUAUUUUUGGAUAGAUUUGAGUAAGAGCAUGUAUGCUGGGACCCGAAAGAUGGUGAACUAUGCCUGAAUAGGGUGAAGCCAGAGGAAACUCUGGUGGAGGCUCGUAGCGAUUCUGACGU
rnacentral:rRNA from 1 species